rnacentral:rRNA from 1 species
AGAGUUUGAUCAUGGCUCAGGACGAACGCUGGCGGCGCGCCUCAUACAUGCAAGUCGGACGAGAUCCAUGGGAGCUUGCUCCCGGAAGAUCGAGUGGCGAACGGGUGAGUAACACGUGAGAAACCUACCCUGGAGUGGGGAAUAACCCGAGGAAACUCGGGCUAAUACCGCAUACCUUCCGAUGACCGCAUGGUCGACGGAAGAAAGAAUUUCGCUCUGGGAGGGUCUCGCGGCCUAUCAGCUAGUUGGCGGGGUAACGGCCCACCAAGGCAACGACGGGUAGCUGGUUUGAGAGAACGAUCAGCCACACUGGAACUGAGACACGGUCCAGACUUCUACGGGAGGCAGCAGUAGGGAAUCUUGCGCAAUGGGCGAAAGCCUGACGCAGCGACGCCGCGUGCGGGAUGACAGCCCUAGUGGUUGUAAACCGCUUUCAGCAGGGACGAAAAUGACGGUACCUGCAGAAGAAGUCCCGGCUAACUACGUGCCAGCAGCCGCGGUAAUACGUAGGGGACAAGCGUUGUCCGGAUUCAUUGGGCGUAAAGAGCUCGUAGGCGGUUCAGUAAGUUGGGUGUGAAAGCUCCGGGCUCAACCCGGAGAGGCCACUCAAUACUGCUGUGACUAGAGUCCAGUAGAGGAGCGUGGAACUCCUGGUGUAGCGGUGAAAUGCGCAGAUAUCAGGAAGAACACCGGCAGCGAAGGCGGCGCUCUGGGCUGGUACUGACGCUGAGGAGCGAAAGCAUGGGUAGCAAACAGGAUUAGAUACCCUGNAGUCCAUGCCGUAAACGUUGGGCACUAGGUGUGGGGAGGAAUCAACCCUCUCUGUGCCGUAGCUAACGCAUUANGUGCCCCGCCNGGGAGUACGGCCGCAAGGCUAAAACUCAAAGGAAUUGACGG